AGAGUUCGAUCCUGGCUCAAGAUGAAUGUUGGAGGCAUGCUUAACACAUGCAAGUCAGACGGGAAACACGGGAAAUGGUGUUUCUAGAGAUGGGCGGGUGAGUAACGCGUAAGAACCUACCCUUGGAAGAGGAACUACAGCUGGAAAUGACUGCUAAUACCCCAUAGACUGAGGAGAAAAAAGAGGAAUCCGCCCGAGGAGGGGAUUACAUCAGAUUAUCUAGUUGGUAAGGCAAUAUCUUACCAAGGCAAUGAUCAGUAGCUGGACCGAAAGGAUGAUCAGCCACACUGGGAUUGAGACAUAGCCUAGACUCCUACGGGAGACAGCAGUAGGGAAUUUCCCAUAAUGGGAGAAAGCCUAACGGAGCAUGCCACAUAAAUGUAGAAGUCGCACGGGUCAUUAACUUUUUUUCCUAGAGAAGAAGCAAUGACGGUAUCUGGGGAAUAAGAAUCGGCUAACUCUAUUCCAACAGCCGUGAUAAUACAGAGGAUGCAAGUGUUAUUCGAAAUGAUUGGCGUAAAACGUCUGUAAGUGUCUUUUUAAGUCCUUUGUCAAAUCCCAGGGCUCAACCCUGGACAGAAAGUAGAAACUACAAGAUGGAGCACGGUAGGGGCAGAGGGAAUUUUUAGUGGAGUGGUGAAAUAGCUAGAGAUCAGAAAGAAAACCAAUAGUGAAAGCACUCUGUUGCGCCGACAAUGACUUUGAGAGAUGAAAGAUAGGGGAGUAAAUGGGAUUAGAUACCCCAGUAGUCUUGGCCAUAAAUCAUAGAUACUAGGCGUUGUGUGUAGUGACCCGUGUAGUUCUGUAGCUAACAUGUUAAGUAUCCCACCUGGGGAGUACAUUCGUAAGAAUGAAACUCAAAGAAAUUGAUGGGGGCUCGCAUAAGAAGUGGAGCAUGUGGUUUAAUUUGAUACAAAGCAAAGAACCUUACCAGAGCUUGAUAUUCCAUGAAUCCUUUUGAAAGAGAGGGGUGCCUUCGGGAAUACGGGCACAGGUGGUACAUGGUUGUUGUCAGCUCGUGCCGUAAGGUGUUGGGUUAAGUCCCGCAAUGAGCAUAACCCUCAUAUUUAGUUUCCAUCGUUGAGUUUAGAACCUUAAAUAGACUACCGGUGAUAAGCCAGAGGAAGGUAAGGAUGACGUAAAGUCAUCAUGCCCCUUAUGCCCUGGGUGACACACGUGCUAUAAUGGUCGGGACAAAGGGUUGCGAUCUUACGAGGGUGAGAUAACCCCAAAAACCAUCCUCAAUUUGGAUUGUAGGUUGAAACUUACCUGCAUAAAUCCAGAAUUACUAGCAAACGUCAGUUAGCCAUACGACAGUGAAUUCAUUCCCGGGCCUUGUACACACUACCUGUCACACUAUGGAAGCCCGAAUUCGUUACCUUAACCGCAAGAAGGGAAAUGUCGAAGUAAGGGCUAGUGACUAAAGUGAAGUCAUAACAAGGUAUCUAUACUAUAAGGUACAGCUG
rnacentral:rRNA from 1 species